rnacentral:rRNA from 2 species
UUUAGGCCGAGGGCACGCCUGCCUGGGCGUCACAC